UAGGGAAUCUUCCGCAAUGGGCGAAAGCCUGACGGAGCAACGCCGCGUGAGUGAUGAAGGUCUUCGGAUCGUAAAACUCUGUUAUUAGGGAAGAACAAAUGUGUAAGUAACUAUGCACGUCUUGACGGUACCUAAUCAGAAAGCCACGGCUAACUACGUGCCAGCAGCCGCGGUAAUACGUAGGUGGCAAGCGUUAUCCGGAAUUAUUGGGCGUAAAGCGCGCGUAGGCGGUUUUUUAAGUCUGAUGUGAAAGCCCACGGCUCAACCGUGGAGGGUCAUUGGAAACUGGAAAGCUUGGGUGCCGAAGAGGAAAGUGGAAUUCCAUGUGUAGCGGUGAAAUGGGCAGAGAUAUGGAGGAACACCAGUGGCGAAGGCGACUUUCUGGUCUGUAACUGACGCUGAUGUGCGAAAGCGUGGGGAUCAAACAGG
rnacentral:rRNA from 1 species